rnacentral:rRNA from 1 species
GACGAACGCUGGCGGCGUGCCUAAUACAUGCAAGUCGUGCGGACCUUGUUGAAAGCUUGCUUUUAAAAGGUUCGCGGCGGACGGGUGAGUAACACGUGGGCAACCUGCCUGUAAGACUGGGAUAACGCCGGGAAACCGGGGCUAAUACCAGAUCGUUUUUUCCUCCACAUGGAGGAAAAAGGAAAGGCGGCUUCGGCUGCCACUUACAGAUGGGCCCGCGGCGCAUUAGCUAGUUGGCGGGGUAAUGGCCCACCAAGGCAACGAUGCGUAGCCGACCUGAGAGGGUGAUCGGCCACAUUGGGACUGAGACACGGCCCAAACUCCUACGGGAGGCAGCAGUAGGGAAUCUUCCGCAAUGGACGAAAGUCUGACGGAGCAACGCCGCGUGAGUGAAGAAGGCCGUCGGGUCGUAAAACUCUGUUGCCGGGGAAGAACAAGUGCCGUUCGAACAGGGCGGCGCCUUGACGGUACCCGGCCAGAAAGCCACGGCUAACUACGUG